UCGAACGUGGUGUAUGGAGCACGGCCUUUCAUCUUUCUGUAGGUCAAACAAAGGUUGAAAGCAAGCCGGGGUUCGACUCCCUGCGUUCGAA